UACGGAGGAUCCAAGCGUUAUCCGGAUUUAUUGGGUUUAAAGGGUGCGUAGGCGGCCUGUUAAGUCAGGGGUGAAAGACGGUAGCUCAACUAUCGCAGUGCCCUUGAUACUGAUGGGCUUGAAUGGACUAGAGGUAGGCGGAAUGUGGCAAGUAGCGGUGAAAUGCAUAGAUAUGUCACAGAACACCGAUUGCGAAGGCAGCUUACUAUGGUCUUAUUGACGCUGAGGCACGAAAGCGUGGGGAUCAAACAGG
rnacentral:rRNA from 1 species